UUUCCUGUAGUUGAAUACAACGGUGGUUUUUCAAGCCAUUGGUCCUGGUUAGAAUCCUGGCAGGAAUA
rnacentral:tRNA from 1 species